CAGUAGCGUAUAUAAAAGUUGUUGCAGUUGAAAAGCUCGUAGUUGGAUUUCUGGCUUGGAACGGCUGGUCCGCCGUAUAUGCGGUGCGUACCGGUUCGAUCCAGCCAUCCUUCCAAGGACCUCUCCUGCCCUUCAUUGGGUCGGGUGUAGGCACUUGGAUCGAUUACUUUGAAAAAAUUAGAGUGUUCAAAGCAGGCGUUUGUCUUGAAUACAUUAGCAUGGAAUAAUGACAUAGGACUUUGGUUCUAUUUUGUUGGUUUCUAGGACUGAAGUAAUGAUUGAUAGGGAUAGUUGGGGGUGCUAGUAUUGUGCGGCCAGAGGUGAAAUUCUUGGAUUCGCGCAAGACUAACUAAUGCGAAAGCAUUCACCAAGGAUGUCUUCUUUAA
rnacentral:rRNA from 1 species